CCUUCACCGCUCCCUACCUUAUCUAUCCGCCGCCUACCUGUCUACUCUAUCCCCCUUCUUACUCCCUAGGUGUCACUGCCUAUUCCUAUCUUAUCCGAAUCGUUGCCGUCCGCCUGCUCUUUCUGCCUAACCUCAAAACUCUCCCCCUUCUUUCUUUUUCCCCCGCCCUUCCCUUCUAUCCCUGCCUCCCUAUUCCCUUCACCCGACCGCCCGUCUAUGUCUUCCCCGCUCCUUCUCUGCCCUAUUUCCUUUUCUCCUCACCUUUGCUAUCCUGCUAAAUUCUCUCCUUUCCUCUCGGACUCUUUCGCACACCUGUCACUCACAUUCAGAACGGAAACGGAAGUUCAUCUAAUGUAAUA
rnacentral:lncRNA from 1 species